UACGUAGGUGGCAAGCGUUACUCGGAAUCACUAGGCGUAAAGCGCAGGUAGGCGGUUUGAUAAGUCUCUUGUGAAAGCUCCCGGACUCAACUGGGAGAGGUCAAGGGAAACUGUCAGGCUAGAGUGUGGCAGAGAGCUAGAAUUCCCGGUGUAGCGGUGAAAUGCGCAGAUAUCAGGAGGAACACCGGUGGCGAAGGCGGGUCUCUGGCAACACUGACUGAGGAGCGAAAGCGUGGGGGAGCGAAAC
rnacentral:rRNA from 1 species